rnacentral:rRNA from 1 species
AUUUUUCUCUUGGAUGCGAAAUGUUUAGCGGGCAUGGGCUCUCGACCCCCAUUUGUCCGAUGCUAUGCAUUUCACGUGCUCGACACGUACGAUACUUGCAGUCCGCAUUAGGCUCUCUCUGUCGCUCGGUCAGUACGUCGAGGCCCACGCGGUGCCCAACCCUGACUUCUAGAAGGGAUGCAUUUAUUAGAUAAAAGGUUGACACGGGCUAUGCCCGUUGCUCUAAUGAUUCAAGAUAACUCGACGGAUCACACGACCUUUGUGCUGGUGACGCAUCAUUCAAAUUUUUGCCCUAUCAACUUUCAAUGGUAGGAUAGUGGCCUACUAUGGUGGUGACGGGUGACGAAGAAUUAGGGUUCAAUUUCGAAGAAGGAGCCUUAGAAAUGGCUACCACAUCCAAGGAAGGCAGCAGGCGCAUAAAUUACCCAAUCCUGACAUAAGGAGGUAGUGACAAUAAAUAACAAUACUGGGCUCUAUAAGUCUAUUAGUUGGAAUGAGUACAACCUAAAUUCCUUAACGAGGAUCCAUUAGAGGGCAAGUCUGGUGCCAGUAGCCAUGGUAAUUCCAACUCCAAUAGCGUAUAUUUAAAUUGUUGCAAUUAAAAAGCUCGUAGUUGGAACUAGGGUUGGGUCAUCCAGUCUGCCUCAUGGUGAGCAUCGAUCUACUCAUCCCUACUGCCAGUUAUGCUCUCCUGGACUUAAUUACCUGAGUCGUUUCUCUUGCACUGUUACUUUGAAGAAAUUAGAGUGCUAAAAGCAGGCUUAUGCUUGUAUACAUUAACAUGGGAUAACAUCAUAGGAUUUUGGUCCUAUUGUGUUGGCCUUCGGAUCGGAGUAAUGAUUAACAGGGACAGUUGGGGGCAUUCGUAUUUCAUAGUUAGAGGUGAAAUUCUUAGAUUUAUGAAAGACGAACAACUACGAAAGCAUUUGCCAAGGAUGUUUUCAUUAAUCAAGAACGAAAGUUGGGGGCUCAAAAAUGAUCAGAUAUCGUCCUAGUCUCAACCAUAAACGAUGUUGACCAGGGAUGGCGGAUCUUACUUUUAGGACUCCGUUGGCACUUUAUGAGAAAUCAAAGUCUUUGGGUUUCGAGGGGAGUAUGGUCACAAGGCUGAAACUUAAAGGAAUUGAUGGAAGGGCACCACCAGGAGUGGAGCCUACGACUUAAUUUGACUCAACACGGGGAAACUUACCAGUUCCAAACAUAGUAAGGAUUGACAGACUGAGAGCUCUUUCUUGAUUCUAUGGGUGGUGGUGCAUGGUUGGUGGAGCAAUUUGUCUAGUUAAUUUCGUUAAUGAACCAGACCUCAACCUGGUAACUAGCUACGCAGAGGUGAUCCUUCGUGGCUAGCUUCUUAGAGAGACUAUGGCCGCUUAGGCCAAGGAAGUUUGAGGCAAUAACAGGUCUGUGAUACCCUUAGAGAUUCUGGGCCGCACACGCGCUACAUUGAUGUAUUCAACAAGUCUAUAGCCUUGGCUGAUAGGCCCGGGUAAUCUUUGAAAGUUCAUUAUGAUGGGGAUAGAUCAUCGUAAUUGUUGGUCUUCAACGAGGAAUUCCUAGUAAGUGUGAGUCAUCAGCUUACGUUGACUAUGUCCCUGCUAUUUAUACACACCGUCUGUCGCUCCUACCGAUUGAAUGGUCCGGUAAAAAGUUCAGAUCGUGAUGACUUGGACGGUUCACCGCUAGGGAUGUAUCGAGAAGUCCAUUCAACCUUAUCAUUUAGAGGAAGGAAAAGUCGUAAUAAGGUUUUUGUAGGUGAACCUGCAGAAG